rnacentral:rRNA from 1 species
GGACUACCGGGGUUUCUAAUCCCGUUUGCUCCCCUAGCUUUCGCGCCUCAGCGUCAGAAGAGGUCCAGCAGCUCGCUUUCGCCACCGGCGUUCCUUCCAAUAUCAACGCAUUUCACCGCUCCACUGGAAGUUCCAGCUGCCCCUACCUCCCUCCAGCCAAGCCGUAUCCAAGGCCCUUUUCCGGUUAAGCCGAAAGAUUUCACCCCGGACGUGCUUGACCGCCUACGCGCCCUUUAAGCCCAGUGAAUCCGAACAACGUUCGCACGGUUCGUCUUACCGCGGCUGCUGGCAC